UUAGUCUCUUUAAAUUGGAGUGCAAAUCAUUAUUAUUUCUGAAAUCUUAUGAAAACAGUGAGACAUAGAGUAUCCCGUUGUGUAUGUGCUGGAGAGUGUCUUAUGAUGCAGAAUAGACAAAGUGUAACUUCAAGAGACCGCCAUGAAUAUCUCCUAAAGUAAGUUGACUACGGUAAACAGAUACGGUGAAUGGAGUAUCACUUAACAGUGGGUCUGCUCAACUUCCUGGCUGAAGGCAGCAUUAAGUUUAAGAAGAAGAAGAGUCUGCCUCAGGCUUGGGAGGCAUGAUGAAAGGAAAAAGGUCUUGAGGGUUCCGGCCCUGAGCCAUGCGGAUGUUCUUCAGCAGAUCCUUGACCGGCAUCUUCACUCGUACUCCAAGGAUUCAUGAAAAAGUCAAACUAGGAAACGUUUUACCUGCGUCGGCACCGCUGACCGCCUGGAGACUCAGGCCGGGGACAGGUGACUCUGAGUUGGCCAAGUGAGCUGCGGAUCCCCGUGGCAGAGCGCCGCUGUUGUGUCUUCCGCAACCUGGCUCCUUAUAACGUCCUCUCAUCGUGUCAAACUAUCAAGAAGCAUCGCCGUGUACUACGAACGAACAACUAGUGACACUUUGAGAGAGACUUAGCAUCAAAUACCAGGUCGAGACAGCACCUGGCAGGUCUGCCGUCAACAGGCUCUGGCCACGCCCACUGCAUGUAACCGCGCAUGCGUUUUCCUAAUGGUAAUGUAAUAAUAUAAUUACAUAUUAUAAAUAAACACCAAAACAACUAUCACAUUCUUUAUAACUGUAAAAAAUGUAUAGAUAAUUCCAAUUGUAAAAACAUUCUGUAGAAAAAAAUAUGCAAAUUAAGUAACUGUACUAAAAAUGGCAGCAUUGAACUAUUACACCCUGUCUGUAGAAAAAAACACCAGGGAUGAUUUUAACUACAAUAGAGCAUGCUGGGAGAUAAAAAGGGAUUGUGAUGCUUUUACGUUGAUAUAAAAUAUGUAGUUCUUGCUGGACUUUGAGAGAAUGAUGAAGAGGCGGUUGAUCAA